rnacentral:rRNA from 1 species
GUGUAUGGACUUGUUGGACUAAGUGCACUUGAUCUUGUUUAAUCUUGGAAGCUAGAAGGGCCCAAACCUGGCUAGUACUCAGAUGAGAGGCCACCUGGGGCUGCUGAAUCCUGUAAACA